rfam:Basilea psittacipulmonis DSM 24701, complete genome.
ACGUCACGGAGUUGUACGAGUAAUUUGUACAGAUCCAAGACAUAAGCAACGUCAGGGUUAAUUCCCCUGAGAUUGAAUAACGAGGAAAAGUCAUGGCCCGUAUCGCAGGCAUUAACAUUCCGCCG